rnacentral:pre_miRNA from 1 species
UCCUUCAGUGUUGAGACAAUCUCUACUGAAUCAGCUUUAAACAAGUUCACUAGAGUUUGUUUCAAUAUUGCAAGAA